GACGAACGCUGGCGGCGUGCUUAACACAUGCAAGUCGAACGGAAAGGCCCUGCUUUUGUGGGGUGCUCGAGUGGCGAACGGGUGAGUAACACGUGAGUAACCUGCCCUUGACUUUGGGAUAACUUCAGGAAACUGGGGCUAAUACCGGAUAGGAGCUCCUGCUGCAUGGUGGGGGUUGGAAAGUUUCGGCGGUUGGGGAUGGACUCGCGGCUUAUCAGCUUGUUGGUGGGGUAGUGGCUUACCAAGGCUUUGACGGGUAGCCGGCCUGAGAGGGUGACCGGCCACAUUGGGACUGAGAUACGGCCCAGACUCCUACGGGAGGCAGCAGUGGGGAAUAUUGCACAAUGGGCGGAAGCCUGAUGCAGCAACGCCGCGUGCGGGAUGACGGCCUUCGGGUUGUAAACCGCUUUCGCCUGUGACGAAGCGUGAGUGACGGUAAUGGUUAAAGAAGCACCGGCUAACUACGUGCCAGCAGCCGCGGUGAUACGUAGGGUGCGAGCGUUGUCCGGAUUUAUUGGGCGUAAAGGGCUCGUAGGUGGUUGAUCGCGUCGGAAGUGUAAUCUUGGGGCUUAACCCUGAGCGUGCUUUCGAUACGGGUUGACUUGAGGAAGGUAGGGGAGAAUGGAAUUCCUGGUGGAGCGGUGGAAUGCGCAGAUAUCAGGAGGAACACCAGUGGCGAAGGCGGUUCUCUGGGCCUUUCCUGACGCUGAGGAGCGAAAGCGUGGGGAGCGAACAGGCUUAGAUACCCUGGUAGUCCACGCUGUAAACGGUGGGUACUAGGUGUGGGGUCCAUUCCACGGGUUCCGUGCCGUAGCUAACGCUUUAAGUACCCCGCCUGGGGAGUACGGCCGCAAGGCUAAAACUCAAAGGAAUUGACGGGGCCCCGCACAAGCGGCGGAGCAUGCGGAUUAAUUCGAUGCAACGCGUAGAACCUUACCUGGGUUUGACAUGGAUCGGGAGUGCUCAGAGAUGGGUGUGCCUCUUUUGGGGUCGGUUCACAGGUGGUGCAUGGCUGUCGUCAGCUCGUGUCGUGAGAUGUUGGGUUAAGUCCCGCAACGAGCGCAACCCUUGUUCACUGUUGCCAGCACGUUAUGGUGGGGACUCAGUGGAGACCGCCGGGGUCAACUCGGAGGAAGGUGGGGAUGACGUCAAGUCAUCAUGCCCCUUAUGUCCAGGGCUUCACGCAUGCUACAAUGGCUGGUACAGAGAGUGGCGAGCCUGUGAGGGUGAGCGAAUCUCGGAAAGCCGGUCUCAGUUCGGAUUGGGGUCUGCAACUCGACCUCAUGAAGUCGGAGUCGCUAGUAAUCGCAGAUCAGCAACGCUGCGGUGAAUACGUUCCCGGG
rnacentral:rRNA from 1 species